rnacentral:rRNA from 1 species
AGAAGUGCGAAUGCUGACGUGAGUAACGACAAAACGGGUGAAAAACCCGUUCGCCGAAAGACCAAGGGUUCCAGUCCAACGUUAAUCGGGGCUGGGUGAGUCGACCCCUAAGGCGAGGCCGAAAGGCGUAGUCGAUGGGAAAAUGGUUAAUAUUCCAUUACUUCUGUGUAAUGCGAUGAGAGGACGGAGAAGGCUAAAUCAGCCUGGCGUUGGUUGUCCAGGUGAAAGGAUGUAGGCAUGUAUCUUAGGCAAAUCCGGGGUACUCUAUGCUGAGAUCUGAUAGCAAGCUGUACUUGUACAGCGAAGUGGUUGAUGCCAUGCUUCCAGGAAAAGUCUCUAAGCUUCAGUUACACAGGAAUCGUACCCGAAACCGACACAGGUGGUCAGGUCGAGUAGACCAAGGCGCUUGAGAGAACUCUGCUGAAGGAACUAGGCAAAAUGGUACCGUAACUUCGGGAGAAGGUACGCUGUUGUUGGUGAUGGAACUCGCUUCCUGAGCUGACGACAGCCGCAGAAACCAGGCCGCUGCAACUGUUUAUUAAAAACAUAGCACUCUGCAAACACGAAAGUGGACGUAUAGGGUGUGAUGCCUGCCCGGUGCUGGAAGGUUAAUUGAUGGGGUUAGCGUAAGCGAAGCUCUUGAUCGAAGCCCCAGUAAACGGCGGCCGUAACUAUAACGGUCCUAAGGUAGCGAAAUUCCUUGUCGGGUAAGUUCCGACCUGCACGAAUGGCAUAAUGAUGGCGGCGCUGUCUCCAGCAGAGGCUCAGUGAAAUCGAAAUCGCUGUGAAGAUGCAGUGUACCCGCGGCUAGACGGAAAGACCCCGUGAACCUUUACUGCAGCUUGACACUGAACUUUGACCUUACUUGUGUAGGAUAGGUGGGAGGCUUUGAAGCUGGAACGCUAGUUCCAGUGGAGCCGUCCUUGAAAUACCACCCUGGUAAUGUUGAGGUUCUAACUCUGUCCCGUGAUCCGGGACGAGGACCGUGUCUGGUGGGUAGUUUGACUGGGGCGGUCUCCUCCUAAAGAGUAACGGAGGAGUACGAAGGUGCGCUCAGCGUGGUCGGAAAUCACGCGUAGAGUAUAAAGGCAAAAGCGCGCUUAACUGCGAGACCCACAAGUCGAGCAGGUACGAAAGUAGGUCUUAGUGAUCCGGUGGUUCUGUAUGGAAGGGCCAUCGCUCAACGGAUAAAAGGUACUCUGGGGAUAACAGGCUGAUACCGCCCAAGAGUUCAUAUCGACGGCGGUGUUUGGCACCUCGAUGUCGGCUCAUCUCAUCCUGGGGCUGAAGCAGGUCCCAAGGGUAUGGCUGUUCGCCAUUUAAAGAGGUACGCGAGCUGGGUUUAGAACGUCGUGAGACAGUUCGGUCCCUAUCUACCGUGGGCGCUGGAAAUUUGAGAGGAUCUGCUCCUAGUACGAGAGGACCAGAGUGGACGAACCUCUGGUGUACCGGUUGUGACGCCAGUCGCAUCGCCGGGUAGCUAUGUUCGGAAGGGAUAACCGCUGAAAGCAUCUAAGCGGGAAGCCUACCUCAAGAUAAGAUUUCCCUAGGACUUUAUGUCCUCUAAAGAGCCGUUCGAGACUAGGACGUUGAUAGGUUGGAUGUGGAAGCAUAGUGAUAUGUGAAGCUGACCAAUACUAAUUGCUCGUGAGGCUUGACUA